GCGUGAGUGAUGAAGGCCUUAGGGUUGUAAAGCUCUUUUACCCGGGAUGAUAAUGACAGUACCGGGAGAAUAAGCCCCGGCUAACUCCGUGCCAGCAGCCGCGGUAAUACGGAGGGGGCUAGCGUUGUUCGGAAAUACUGGGCGUAAAGCGAACGUAGGCGGCUUGGCAAGUCAGGGGUGAAAUCCCAGUGCUCAACACUGGAACUGCCUUUGAAACUGCCAGGCUUGAAUCCUGGAGAGGUCAGUGGAAUUCCGAGUGUAGAGGUGAAAUUCGU
rnacentral:rRNA from 1 species